GACCUGCGGAGGGAUCAUUACAAGUGACCCCGGAUCUAACCACCGGGAUGUUCAUAACCCUUUGUUGUCCGACUCUGUUGCCUCCGGGGCGACCCUGCCUUCGGGCGGGGGCUCCGGGUGGACACUUCAAACUCUUGCGUAACUUUGCAGUCUGAGUAAACUUAAUUAAUAAAUUAAAACUUUUAACAACGGAUCUCUUGGUUCUGGCAUCGAUGAAGAACGCAGCGAAAUGCGAUAAGUAAUGUGAAUUGCAGAAUUCAGUGAAUCAUCGAAUCUUUGAACGCACAUUGCGCCCCCUGGUAUUCCGGGGGGCAUGCCUGUUCGAGCGUCAUUUCACCACUCAAGCCUCGCUUGGUAUUGGGCAACGCGGUCCGCCGCGUGCCUCAAAUCGACCGGCUGGGUCUUCUGUCCCCUAAGCGUUGUGGAAACUAUUCGCUAAAGGGUGCUCGGGAGGCUACGCCGUAAAACAAACCCAUUUCUAAGGUUGACCUCGGAUCAGGUAGGGAUACCCGCUGAACUUAAGCAUAUCAUA
rnacentral:rRNA from 1 species